GGGCCCGCACAAGCGGUGGAGCAUGUGGUUUAAUUCGAUGAUACGCGAGGAACCUUACCAGGGCUUAAAUGUAAGUUGCAUUAGUUAGAGAUAGCUAUUUCUUCGGACCACUUACAAGGUGCUGCAUGGUUGUCGUCAGCUCGUGCCGUGAGGUGUCAGGUUAAGUCCUAUAACGAGCGCAACCCCUGUUGUUAGUUGCCAGCGAGUCAUGUCGGGAACUCUAACAAGACUGCCGGUGCAAACCGUGAGGAAGGUGGGGAUGACGUCAAAUCAUCACGGCCCUUACGUCCUGGGCUACACACGUGCUACAAUGGUCGGUACAGAGAGCAGCCACUACGCGAGUAGGAGCGAAUCUAUAAAACCGGUCUCAGUUCGGAUUGGGGUCUGCAACUCGACCCCAUG
rnacentral:rRNA from 1 species